GUACUCGCUUCGGCAUCACAUAUGCUAAAACUGGAAGGACACAGAGAAGAUUAGCAUGGCCCCUGUGCAAGGAUGACAUGCAAAUUCAUGAAGCGCUUCAUAUUUUU
rnacentral:snRNA from 1 species